rnacentral:rRNA from 1 species
UUUCCGGUUGAUCCCGCCGGACCUGACUGCUAUCGGAUUGAUACUAAGCCAUGCGAGUCUUUGCAGUAAUGCAAGGCAGACGGCUCAGUAACACGUAGUCAACUUACCCUAUGGACGAGGAUAAUCUCGGGAAACUGAGCAUAAUACUCGAUAGAUCAUAAUGCCUGGAAUGGUUUAUGGUUAAAAUGAUUCGUCGCCAUAGGAUGGGACUGCGGCCUAUCAGCUUGUUGGUGAGGUAAUGGCCCACCAAGGCGAUUACAGGUACGGGCUCUGAGAGGAGAAGCCCGGAGAUGGGUACUGAGACAAGGACCCAGGCCCUAUGGGGCGCAGCAGGCGAGAAAACUUUGCAAUGUGCGAAAGCACGACAAGGUUAAUCCGAGUGAUUUCUGCUAAAGAAAUCUUUUGCAAGUCAUAAAACCACUAGUGAAUAAGGGGUGGGCAAGUUCUGGUGUCAGCCGCCGCGGUAAAACCAGCACCUCAAGUGGUCAGGAGGAUUAUUGGGCCUAAAGCAUCCGUAGCCGGCUCUGUAAGUUUUCGGUUAAAUCCAUGUGCUCAACGCAUGGGCCGCCGAAAAUACUGCAUAGCUAGGGAGUGGGAGAGGUAGACGGUACUCAGUAGGAAGGGGUAAAAUCCUUUGAUCUAUUGAUGACCACCUGUGGCGAAGGCGGUCUACCAGAACACGUUCGACGGUGAGGGAUGAAAGCUGGGGGAGCAAACCGGAUUAGAUACCCGGGUAGUCCCAGCUGUAAACGAUGCAGACUCGAUGAUGCAUUGGCAUAUAGCCAGUGCAGUGUCGCAGGGAAGCCGUUAAGUCUGCCGCCUGGGAAGUACGUACGCAAGUAUGAAACUUAAAGGAAUUGGCGGGGGAGCACCACAAGGGGUGAAGCCUGCGGUUCAAUUGGAGUCAACGCCGGG